rnacentral:lncRNA from 1 species
GGGGAUUUUUAUUAUAUUCAGAGGCUCAGAUGAUAAGGCACUUUACAUUUGAUUUUUAUAACUUUGUAAUAAGUGGCAAAAACAAAAAGAAAUGAGGACAUCAUGGGACAACAUCAUACUGGAAAAUAGAUUUAUUUUUUAUUAAACUCUGUUUUAAAGAUUUCUUAAACCUAAGAGCUACAACUCUGAAAGUUUUUCUGAGAAUAUAUUACUUUUAAAAGCUAUAUUUUAUGUUCUUUAUAUACUUGGAAGGCUAACGUAAGUUGCGUAAUCGAAAAUGAUAAUUACUUUGUAACUCUUUUUGUCCUUAUUAUUGUAUCUCAUGAAAAUUUAGGAUUGCAAUUAGCUCUUUAUUCAUUACCACGUCGCUUGUAAUGGUAAAAUGUGUGCAUAAUGUACAUCCCAUGGCACUUCUUUCUUCCCUGUGAAAUUCAGAUAGUAUUUUACUCUAGCAACAGAUCUUUUAGGCUUUGCAUAGAGACGGAGCUUACCUACACUUGUCUUCUGCCCCACAAGUGUUUUCAGUGGAUGAGGUCAAUAUUCAUAGAGCAGUGCUGGUCCCAAAGGCUGACGCCAGAAUCGUGGAAUAGGACCCCAUGUAUUCUUUCUGAGAUUUCUGUAACAGAGAUCUACUGAAAUGUUGUUAGAGAAAUACAAAAAUUAGACUAAUCAUCUCAGCAUCCCCGGGCAAUCAGUGGAUGUUAGAGUACUGAAUCGGUGGUCAGAACUGAGCUUGAGUUUCCAACUUCUUAUUUGCUGAAUUGUGAUAUUCAUUUAACAUCUUUGUGCCUCAUUUUCUUCAUAUUAAUAAAGUGAUAAAAACUCCUUUAUCCUCCUCAUAGGACUGUUAUGAGGCUGGAAGUAAGUCAAUACACAUGAAAAAACUUUACACCCUCAAGGAAUAUGCAAAUGUUAGUUUGUCACUAGAGGAAGGUGUUUUCUAUUAAUCAAAUAUAUUAAAAUUCAGAGUAAAAUAUAUAUAAAAAAAGCACAUUUAGGCCUUUAAAAACAUUGCUAUGUACAGUACAUGAAUUUCUCAGCAGAAAGAAGAAGAUGCCUAUAGGGUCUGCUUGAAAAAUCAUUUUAUUGAUUUUCAGACAAAUGAACUACAGAUCUUCCCUGACUUGCAGUGGGGUUACAUCCCAAUAAACGCAUUGAAAGUUGAAAAUAACAUAAGUCGAAAAUGCAUUUAAUACGUCUAACCUACUGAACAUCUUAGCUUAGCCUAGCCUACCUUAAAUGUGCUCAGAACACCUACGUUAGCCUACACUUGGGCAAAACAUCUUACACGAAGCCUAUUUUACAAUAAAGUGUUAAUACCUCAUGUAGUUUAUUUAUUUAUUUGUUUUUGAGUAAGGUUAUCCCUGAGCUAACAUCUGCCGCCAAUCCUCCUCUUUUUGCUGAGGAAGACUGGCCCUGAGCUAACAUCUGUGCCCAUCUUUCUCUGCUUUAUAUGUGGGACACCUGCCACAGCAUGGCCUGACAAGUGGUGUAAAGGUCUGCACCUGGGAUCCAAGCCUGUGAACCCUGGGCCACCGAAGCAGAACGUGUGAACUUAACUGCUGCGCCACCAGGCUGGCCCCAACCUCAUGUAAUUUAUUGAAUACUGUACUGAGAGGGAAACUCAGCAUGGUUGUCUGGGCACAGAGUGGCUGCAAGUGCGCUGGAUGUUUACCCUUGUGACAGAGUGGUGACCAUGAGCUGUGGCUCACUGCCAGUGCCCAGCAUCAUGAGAGCAUCAGGCCGCAUAUCAGCAGCCUUGGAAAAGAUCAACAUUCAAAAUUCCAAGUACAGUUUCUACAGAAUGCAUAUUUUUUUUUCACCACUGUAAAGUCGAAUGAUCGUUAAGUCAAACUAUUGUACAUCACAGACCGAGACCAUAUCUUAGUUGUCAAUAAUAAUAACAUACCGUUGGGGCCGCAGGUGGCACAACGGUUAGGUUUGCACAUUCCGCUUCUCAGCGGCCUGGGGUUCCCCGGUUUGGACCCCUGGUGGGGACAUGGCACUGCUUGGCAAAAGCCAUGUGGUAGACCUCCCACGUAUAAAGUAGAGGAAGAUGGGCACGGAUGUUAGCUCAGGGCCAGUCUUCCUCAGAAAAACGAGGAGGAUUGGCAGUAGUUAGCUCAGGGCUAAUCUUCCUCAAAGAAAAAAAUUAUGAUGUACUGUUAACGGUCCUUCACAUUUCCUUCCUGUCUUUCCAGCGCAUGUUUGUGUUAUUGAGAUCAUACUGUAGACGCCAUUUCAAUGUCAAAAGUUUUAAUUUUUUUCUGAUUGUGAGGGCAAUCUAUGCCUUUUGUAAAAACUCUGGAAAAGUUGUAGAAAACAGACAAUAGUCCAUAUCAGGAAAUGAAAACCACACACAAUUUACUACUGUAGUUAACCACUGCGAACACUCUGGUGUGUUUCCUUCCAGCACUCUCCUGCUUCUUCUGUGUGUACUUUGCACACGCGGCGGGGACCGCGCCCAGGCAGGACGGCGCUGGGAGCGGCAACCCCUGCUCUCGGCCCAGAGGACUGGAAGCUGCAAUCAGCACCUUCCUCCUGGACAGGGGUAGCGGGAGCGACUACUUUCCCUCCAGCCUCACUCAUUCCCGCAUUCUAAGCUCGUCUGUACACCGUUCUUCUCUUUUCCCAGCAUCUCCAAGGACACCCUGCAGUGUGGCAUGUCUGGGCGGCAUAUUUCAGCGAGUUCUCCUGGACGCUCUGGAAGCGCGUGCUCCUCUCUGCUGCCUUCACUGCAGCGGCCGAGACCCCCGCCCCCACUCGCCGUCUCCCGGUGACCAGGUGGCGGCAGGAGGCCGCCAGGGCUCGGGUUCAGAGGGACCCUCAGCCCGCAGGGCGGAGUCGGAGCCGUCGCUCCGCGUUGGGGUCGGGAGCGCGCCGGGCCCCGCUAGGAGGCUCCCUGUCCCUCCGGGGAUAGGCAGCGCCCAGGGGAGCCUCCGUGCCGGAGUCCCCUACUCGCGGGCGGCAGCUCGCAGAGGCAGCCCCUCCUCGCCCUCCGGGGGCGAGAAUCUUAGCGACCUCCAGGCGCCCCAGUCCUCACUUGCUGUCCUCCUCCAGAGGGUCUUGGCCCGUCGCGAGGAGGCUGCGAGGCCCCGAUCCUCCUCGCCUCGGGGGAUCCGGGCAGGCCCCCGCCACCGAACCCCAGCGGCCGGCCCGCUCCGCCCCGCUUUGCGAGGCGGCAGAAGUGCGUCCCUUCUCGCUUGCCUUAUGCGGGCGAGGCGGGGACGGCGCUACCGCGCGGCCUGCCGGAGGGGGGGCGCUCACGCCCGGGCCUCUGCUUUCCAGCCGGCGGCAGCGGCUCCCGGGCAAGGAGCGUGACGACGACCAGGGUCAGUGUCGUAUUGUCCCGGGAGCCCGCGCGGGAGGAGGAACCAGCGUCCGCUCGAGCUCGGCCGUGGACGCGCCCCUCACCUCGCCCUCGCUUCGCUGGGCCGCCCGGGGCUGCGUGGGCGCCGGCCGCCGCCGAGGCUCCCUGGCCUCUGACACCUCGUCCGGAGCCCCGGGGCCUCGAGUCCCGGCUCCGGGGGCGGG